CAGCCGCGGUAAUUCCAGCUCCAAUAGCGUAUACUUAAGUUGUUGCAGUUAAAAAGCUCGUAGUUGAAAUUCGAGUCAGUUACUAGUUGGCUCUUCGUCAGUUAGUUAAUUGAUUCUCCGUCUACAAUCCCUUUUGCGCUUUAGGGUUGCAGCUGGGCGAGUAGACAAUUUACCUUGAAAAAAUUAGAGUGUUCCAGGCAGGUCUUCGCCGGAAUACAUUAGCAUGGAAUAAUGGAAUAGGACUUGGGUCUUUUGUUGGUUUUAGGACUUAAGUAAUGAUUAAUAGGGACAGAUGGGGGCAUUAGUAUUUAAUUGUCAGAGGUGAAAUUCUUGGAUUUAUUAAAGACUAACUUAUGCGAAAGCAUUUGCCAAGGAUGUUUUCAUUAAUCAAGAACGAAAGUUAGGGGAUCAAAGACGAUCAGAUACCGUCGUAGUCUUAACUAUAAACUAUACCGACUCGAGAUCGGAAGGGUAAUAUAUUAGUCCCUUUCGGCAUCGUAAGAGAA
rnacentral:rRNA from 1 species